CGCACAUUGCGCCCGCCAGUAUUCUGGCGGGCAUGCCUGUCCGAGCGUCAUUUCAACCCUCGAACCCCCUCGGGGGUCCGGCGUUGGGGAUCGGGAACCCCUAAGACGGGAUCCCGGCCCCGAAAUACAGUGGCGGUCUCGCCGCAGCCUCUCCUGCGCAGUAGUUUGCACAACUCGCACCGGGAGCGCGGCGCGUCCACGUCCGUAAAACACCCAACUUCUGAAAUGUUGACCUCGGAUCAGGUAGGAAUACCCGCUGAACUUAA
rnacentral:misc_RNA from 1 species